rnacentral:rRNA from 1 species
CAGUGCCGCGGUAAUACGAAGGGUGCAAGCGUUACUCGGAAUUACUGGGCGUAAAGCGUGCGUAGGUGGUGGUUUAAGUCCGUUGUGAAAGCCCUGGGCUCAACCUGGGAAUUGCAGUGGAUACUGGGUCACUAGAGUGUGGUAGAGGAUAGUGGAAUUUCCGGUGUAGCAGUGAAAUGCGUAGAGAUCGGAAGGAACAUCUGUGGCGAAGGCGACUAUCUGGGCCAACACUGACACUGAGGCACGAAAGCGUGGGGAGCAAACAGGAUUAGAUACCCCGGUAGUCCCUGUCUCUUAUACA